rnacentral:rRNA from 1 species
AUACGGAGGACGCGAGCGUUAUCCGGAUUCAUUGGGUUUAAAGGGUGCGCAGGCGGCCGUGCAAGUCAGCGGUGAAAGCCCGGGGCUCAACCCCGGAAGUGCCGUUGAUACUGCAUGGCUGGAAUGCGGUCGAGGCGGGCGGGGCGUGGGGUGUAGCGGGGAAAUGCGUAGAUAUGCCACAGAACGCCGAUGGCGGAGGCAGCUCGCCAGGCCUGCAUUGACGCUCGGGCACGAAAGCGUGGGGAUCGAACAGGAUUAGAUACCCUGGUAGUCCACGCCGUAAACGAUGGGCGCUCGUCGUCGGCGGCAGACAGUCGGCGGCCAAGCGAAAGCGAUAAGCGCCCCACCUGGGGAGUACGGUCGCAAGGCUGAAACUCAAAUGAAUUGACGGGG